GCCGCAACAGUGGCCCUUAAGCAGAACCAAAUGAGUUUGUACGAUAUGUACUGGCCAAAUGGAGCCUUCAAUAAUCAUCUCACCAAUAACGCCACUGUCAUCAUAACAAACGCAUCCAGAAAUGACACUAACAGGACUAUUCAACUGGAAAUGAACACAACAAAGGUUUUCCCCACGGAACCAUUUGAUCCAGAUGUCGCAUUGAUUACAAAGUUCCUGCACGCUGAUACGUUAUCCAUGGACACUAUUCUGAAAACACCUGUGAAGACCAAAGUGCGCUUUACAGUUGACAGAACCAUUACACAGGUUUCCCCAAUUAAGUCGGACAAAAACUGGCGUAGACGAGACAUCACCAUUUCCGGUGGCAACACUCAAAACCUGCGAUGUAAGUUGUGGAACGAAAAAGCUGACCUAAUUCAGGAGCAGCACCUGA